UACAGAGGUCUCAAGCGUUGUUCGGAUUCAUUGGGCGUAAAGGGUGCGUAGGCGGCGCGGUAAGUCGGGUGUGAAAUCUUGGAGCUUAACUCCGAAACUGCAUUCGAUACUGCCGUGCUUGAGGACUGGAGAGGAGACUGGAAUUUACGGUGUAGCGGUGAAAUGCGUAGAUAUCGUAAGGAAGACCAGUGGCGAUGGCGGGUCUCUGGACAGUUCCUGACACUGAGGCACGAAGGCCAGGGGAGCAAACGGG
rnacentral:rRNA from 1 species